AUGAACGCUAGCGACAGGCUAACACAUGCAAGUCGAGGGGCCAGCACAAGGAGCAAUCUGAGGUGGCGACCGGCGCACGGGUGAGUAACACGUAUGCAACCUGCCUGUAAGCGGGGAAUAACCCGUUGAAAGACGGACUAAUACCGCAUAAUACUAAAUUACUGCAUGGUAAUUUAUUUAAACAUUUAUGGCUUACAGAUGGGCAUGCGCAUGAUUAGCUAGUUGGAGAGGUAACGGCUCCCCAAGGCAACGAUCAUUAGGGGUUCUGAGAGGAAGGUCCCCCACACUGGUACUGAGACACGGACCAGACUCCUACGGGAGGCAGCAGUGAGGAAUAUUGGUCAAUGGACGAGAGUCUGAACCAGCCAAGUCGCGUGCAGGAAGAAUGUCCCUAUGGAUUGUAAACUGCUUUUGCAGGGGAAUAAAGUGCAUCACGUGUGAUGUUUUGUAUGUACUCUGCGAAUAAGGAUCGGCUAACUCCGUGCCAGCCGCCGC
rnacentral:rRNA from 1 species